rnacentral:rRNA from 1 species
GACGAACGCUGGCGGCGUGCUUAACACAUGCAAGUCGAACGGAAAGGCCCUGCUUUUGUGGGGUGCUCGAGUGGCGAACGGGUGAGUAACACGUGAGUAACCUGCCCUUGACUUUGGGAUAACUUCAGGAAACUGGGGCUAAUACCGGAUAGGAGCUCCUGCUGCAUGGUGGGGGUUGGAAAGUUUCGGCGGUUGGGGAUGGACUCGCGGCUUAUCAGCUUGUUGGUGGGGUAGUGGCUUACCAAGGCUUUGACGGGUAGCCGGCCUGAGAGGGUGACCGGCCACAUUGGGACUGAGAUACGGCGCAGACUACUACGGGAGGCAGCAGGGGGGAAUAGUGCACAAUGGGCGGAAGCCUGAUGCAGCAACGCCGCGUGCGGGAUGACGGCCUUCGGGUUGUAAACCGCUUUCGCCUGUGACGAAGCGUGAGUGACGGUAAUGGGUAAAGAAGCACCGGCUAACUACGUG